rnacentral:rRNA from 1 species
AUUGAACGCUGGCGGCAUGCUUUACACAUGCAAGUCGAACGGCAGCGCGGGCUUCGGCCUGGCGGCGAGUGGCGAACGGGUGAGUAAUGCAUCGGAACGUGCCCAGUAGUGGGGGAUAGCCCGGCGAAAGCCGGAUUAAUACCGCAUACGACCUGAGGGUGAAAGCGGGGGACCGAAAGGCCUCGCGCUAUUGGAGCGGCCGAUGUCGGAUUAGCUAGUUGGUGGGGUAAAGGCUUACCAAGGCGACGAUCCGUAGCUGGUCUGAGAAGACGACCAGCCACACUGGGACUGAGACACGGCCCAGACUCCUACGGGAGGCAGCAGUGGGGAAUUUUGGACAAUGGGGGCAACCCUGAUCCAGCCAUGCCGCGUGCGGGAAGAAAGCCUUCGGGUUGUAAACCGCUUUUGUUCGGGAAGAAAUCCUCUGGGCUAAUACCCCGGGGGGAUGACGGUACCGGAAGAAUAAGCACCGGCUAACUACGUG